rnacentral:rRNA from 1 species
CCCUUAGAUGUUCUGGCCCGCACGCGCGCUACACUGACGGAGGCAGCGAGCGUGUCCUUCGCCGGCAGGUGCGGGCAAUCUUGCGAGUCUCCGUCGUGCUGGGGAUAGAUGGUUGCAAUUGUCGAUCUUGAACGAGGAAUUCCUAGUAAGCGCGAGUCAUCAGCUCGCGCUGAUUACGUCCCUGCCCUUUGUACACACCGCCCGUCGCUACUACAGAGUGCCCGUGUCCAAGAAACGGUCGGACCUGUGCGGCCUCUCCGGGCGACCGGAGGGCCGUUACGGGGAAGACCCUUUAUUUGACGCGGGUCGAUGAAGUAAAAGUCGUAACA